UACGUAGGGGGCGAGCGUUGUCCGGAUUUAUUGGGCGUAAAGAGCUCGUAGGCGGUUUGGCAAGUCGGGUGUGAAAACUCCGGGCUCAACUCGGAGACGCCACUCGAUACUGCCAUGACUCGAGUCCGGUAGGGGAGUGCGGAAUUCCUGGUGUAGCGGUGAAAUGCGCAGAUAUCAGGAGGAACACCGAUGGCGAAGGCACUCUACUGGGCUAUUACUGACACUCGAGAAGACGAAAGCUAGGGGAGCAAAUGGG
rnacentral:rRNA from 1 species